rnacentral:rRNA from 1 species
CCCUUAGAUGUCCUGGGCCGCACGCGCGUUACACUGAUGCAUUCAACGAGCUUAUAACCUUGGCCGAGAGGCCUGGGCAAUCUUGUUAACGUGCAUCGUGCUAGGGAUAGAUUAUUGAAAUUAUUAAUCUUGAACGAGGAAUUCCUAGUAAACGCAGAUCAUCAAUCUGCAUUGAUUACGUCCCUGCCCUUUGUACACACCGCCCGUCGCACCUACCGAUUGGAUGGUCCGGUGAAGCCUCGGGAUUGUGGUUCUUGCCGCUUUAUUGUGGCGUGACCGCGAGAACUUGUCUAAACCUUAUCAUCUAGAGGAAGGUGAAGUCGUAACA